rnacentral:lncRNA from 1 species
GAGGGUGCUGUUAUUGUAGUGUCUCCUCAGAUUUCGUAUUGUUGAACCCUUACCAGUUUGGGUCGUGAUGGAUGAGGGACCCCUCAAGCUGGCACAGGCCAAACGCCGGCUGGACCUGGAGGCGGAGCUUCGUGACCUCAGCAACCAGGUAGGUGGGGCCAGCGAGAUGUCACUCAAGGCUAAAAGCCCCGCCCUCAUUUUGCAUAGGAGGUAACGGAGCUGUCAAUCAACACCUUGUGCCCCGCCCACCCCCUGCAGGUGGCGGCUUUGGGGCGGAGCCUGGCACACGAAAGGGGGCGGAGCCUGGCAGAGGGCGGGGCUUUGAGAGCCCUCGAGAUCGCGGUGGGCGGAGCCAAAGCGAGAGUGGGCGGAGCCUUCCGGGCCCGGGAUCGAGCAUGGGAGCGGCUGCGCCAACAGCAGGAGGCGGGACGAGGCUUGUGGGCGGAGCUUGAGGCGGCGCGUGCGGCGCGGGAAGGGGCGGAGCUUCGGGCGCAGGAGGCGGAGUCACAAUGCCGGGAAAAAGAGGCAGAGCUGAAGAGGCUGCGGCAGGCAGUGGCUGCAGCCCACCAUGCCCGGCGGAAGGCAGAACAGGACCGGGAUGACAUCUCCAC